rnacentral:lncRNA from 13 species
GGACCAGAAGGGAACUGACUCCUGGGUUCAAGGUAGCAAAACACAAAACACAACUGACAAUGAAGUGAUGAUGCAGAUCGGUGUGGUAGACACACAAGGCGGUUCAAACUCUGCCCUAUCCCCAAGGCUCUCACGGCCAGGCAUGGGAGACAGCUCUGCUUCCACAAUGUCAGCAUCAUUCACAGCAGGCACGCCCUCCUGCCUCCAAGAGUCACCAGCAGCUUCCUCUUCCGCAGCUGUGAGUAAAUGAGAGGGUCCGCUCCACCCAAUAGCUUAAAUCCCAGUUUCAGGAUUUGACCUGCGGCCGAUCAGUCUAGGGACACAGGCCCAUUCCUGAGCCCAUCACUGUGGCUGGAAAGGUGGGAGACACUGACUAGUCUAAGCCAGUCAAGCCCUCUCAAGACCAAAUCGCGUGGGCAAGAAAUUUAGGACAAGGGCAGGAAGAAGGAAGAGAAAAGAGAAUGUCAAGGAGACAAACGACAAAUCGCUACCACUCCAUCCCUCCUACAAGAGAGAUGUAUUCCCCCCAUUUCAUGGAGGAGGAAACUGACGGUCAGAGCGGCCAAGAAACAGGAUGGUGCUCUCCUGUACGUAGGCACGUGCCGAAAGGGUGUGUACAGUCCUGAUACUACUUUCCCCAACCCACGGGUGGACCUCACUCUACAAGCCAAAGGAUACAAAUGGAGACGAGGCUAAUUUUUGCCCCUCAAACUGGCAAAGGUGAAUAAAACCAUGUUUCUUGAUGCUGGGGAGUGUGGA